GUUUUAGAGUUUGGUGUAUUUGGUAGCACGAAGAAUUUUGAGUUCUUAGGAGUAGGUUCAAGGCCUAUAGUUCUAG
rnacentral:tRNA from 1 species